rnacentral:rRNA from 1 species
UCCGUAGGUGAACCUGCGGAGGGAUCAUUACCGAGUUUACAACUCCCAAACCCCUGUGAACAUACCUAUACGUUGCCUCGGCGGAUCAGCCCGCGCCCCGUAAAACGGGACGGCCCGCCCGAGGACCCCUAAACUCUGUUUUUAGUGGAACUUCUGAGUAAAACAAACAAAUAAAUCAAAACUUUCAACAACGGAUCUCUUGGUUCUGGCAUCGAUGAAGAACGCAGCAAAAUGCGAUAAGUAAUGUGAAUUGCAGAAUUCAGUGAAUCAUCGAAUCUUUGAACGCACAUUGCGCCCGCCAGUAUUCUGGCGGGCAUGCCUGUUCGAGCGUCAUUUCAACCCUCAAGCUCAGCUUGGUGUUGGGACUCGCGGUAACCCGCGUUCCCCAAAUCGAUUGGCGGUCACGUCGAGCUUCCAUAGCGUAGUAGUCAUACACCUCGUUACUGGUAAUCGUCGCGGCCACGCCGUAAAACCCCAACUUCUGAAUGUUGACCUCGGAUCAGGUAGGAAUACCCGCUGAACUUAAGCAUAUCAAUAAGCGGAGGA